UAGGGAAUCUUCGGCAAUGGGGGCAACCCUGACCGAGCAACGCCGCGUGAGUGAAGAAGGUUUUCGGAUCGUAAAGCUCUGUUGUAAGUCAAGAACGAGUGUGAGAGUGGAAAGUUCACACUGUGACGGUAGCUUACCAGAAAGGGACGGCUAACUACGUGCCAGCAGCCGCGGUAAUACGUAGGUCCCGAGCGUUGUCCGGAUUUAUUGGGCGUAAAGCGAGCGCAGGCGGUUUGAUAAGUCUGAAGUUAAAGGCUGUGGCUCAACCACAGUUCGCUUUGGAAACUGUCAAACUUGAGUGCAGAAGGGGAGAGUGGAAUUCCAUGUGUAGCGGUGAAAUGCGUAGAUAUAUGGAGGAACACCGGUGGCGAAAGCGGCUCUCUGGUCUGUAACUGACGCUGAGGCUCGAAAGCGUGGGGAGCGAACAGGAUUAGAUACCCUGGUAGUCCACGCCGUAACGAUGAGUGCUAGGUGUUGGAUCCUUUCCGGGAUUCAGUGCCGCAGCUAACGCAUUAAGCACUCCGCCUGGGGAGUACGACCGCAAGGUUG
rnacentral:rRNA from 1 species